UUAAGCGACUAAGCGUACACGGUGGAUGCCCUGGCAGUCAGAGGCGAUGAAGGACGUGCUAAUCUGCGAUAAGCGUCGGUAAGGUGAUAUGAACCGUUAUAACCGGCGAUUUCCGAAUGGGGAAACCCAGUGUGAUUCGUCACACUAUCAUUAACUGAAUCCAUAGGUUAAUGAGGCGAACCGGGGGAACUGAAACAUCUAAGUACCCCGAGGAAAAGAAAUCAACCGAGAUUCCCCCAGUAGCGGCGAGCGAACGGGGAGCAGCCCAGAGCCUGAAUCAGUGUGUGUGUUAGUGGAAGCGUCUGGAAAGGCGUGCGAUACAGGGUGACAGCCCCGUACACAAAAAUGCACAUACUGUGAGCUCGAUGAGUAGGGCGGGACACGUGGUAUCCUGUCUGAAUAUGGGGGGACCAUCCUCCAAGGCUAAAUACUCCUGACUGACCGAUAGUGAACCAGUACCGUGAGGGAAAGGCGAAAAGAACCCCGGCGAGGGGAGUGAAAAAGAACCUGAAACCGUGUACGUACAAGCAGUGGGAGCACNGUGUGACUGCGUACCUUUUGUAUAAUGGGUCAGCGACUUAUAUUCUGUAGCAAGGUUAACCGAAUAGGGGAGCCGAAGGGAAACCGAGUCUUAACUGGGCGUUAAGUUGCAGGGUAUAGACCCGAAACCCGGUGAUCUAGCCAUGGGCAGGUUGAAGGUUGGGUAACACUAACUGGAGGACCGAACCGACUAAUGUUGAAAAAUUAGCGGAUGACUUGUGGCUGGGGGUGAAAGGCCAAUCAAACCGGGAGAUAGCUGGUUCUCCCCGAAAGCUAUUUAGGUAGCGCCUCGUGAAUUCAUCUCCGGGGGUAGAGCACUGUUUCGGCAAGGGGGUCAUCCCGACUUACCAACCCGAUGCAAACUGCGAAUACCGGAGAAUGUUAUCACGGGAGACACACGGCGGGUGCUAACGUCCGUCGUGAAGAGGGAAACAACCCAGACCGCCAGCUAAGGUCCCAAAGUCAUGGUUAAGUGGGAAACGAUGUGGGAAGGCCCAGACAGCCAGGAUGUUGGCUUAGAAGCAGCCAUCAUUUAAAGAAAGCGUAAUAGCUCACUGGUCGAGUCGGCCUGCGCGGAAGAUGUAACGGGGCUAAACCAUGCACCGAAGCUGCGGCAGCGACGCUUAUGCGUUGUUGGGUAGGGGAGCGUUCUGUAAGCCUGNNNNNNNNNNNNNNNNNNNNNNNNNNNNNNNNNNNNNNNNNNNNNNNNNNNNNNNNNNNNNNNNNNNNNNNNNNNNNNNNNNNNNNNNNNNNNNNNNNNNNNNNNNNAAGGCUGAGGCGUGAUGACGAGGCACUACGGUGCUGAAGCAACAAAUGCCCUGCUUCCAGGAAAAGCCUCUAAGCAUCAGGUAACAUCAAAUCGUACCCCAAACCGACACAGGUGGUCAGGUAGAGAAUACCAAGGCGCUUGAGAGAACUCGGGUGAAGGAACUAGGCAAAAUGGUGCCGUAACUUCGGGAGAAGGCACGCUGAUAUGUAGGUGAAGUCCCUCGCGGAUGGAGCUGAAAUCAGUCGAAGAUACUAGCUGGCUGCAACUGUUUAUUAAAAACACAGCACUGUGCAAACACGAAAGUGGACGUAUACGGUGUGACGCCUGCCCGGUGCCGGAAGGUUAAUUGAUGGGGUUAGCGCAAGCGAAGCUCUUGAUCGAAGCCCCGGUAAACGGCGGCCGUAACUAUAACGGUCCUAAGGUAGCGAAAUUCCUUGUCGGGUAAGUUCCGACCUGCACGAAUGGCGUAAUGAUGGCCAGGCUGUCUCCACCCGAGACUCAGUGAAAUUGAACUCGCUGUGAAGAUGCAGUGUACCCGCGGCAAGACGGAAAGACCCCGUGAACCUUUACUAUAGCUUGACACUGAACAUUGAGCCUUGAUGUGUAGGAUAGGUGGGAGGCUUGGAAGUGUGGACGCCAGUCUGCAUGGAGCCGACCUUGAAAUACCACCCUUUAAUGUUUGAUGUUCUAACGUUGACCCGUAAUCCGGGUUGCGGACAGUGUCUGGUGGGUAGUUUGACUGGGGCGGUCUCCUCCUAAAGAGUAACGGAGGAGCACGAAGGUUGGCUAAUCCUGGUCGGACAUCAGGAGGUUAGUGCAAUGGCAUAAGCCAGCUUGACUGCGAGCGUGACGGCGCGAGCAGGUGCGAAAGCAGGUCAUAGUGAUCCGGUGGUUCUGAAUGGAAGGGCCAUCGCUCAACGGAUAAAAGGUACUCCGGGGAUAACAGGCUGAUACCGCCCAAGAGUUCAUAUCGACGGCGGUGUUUGGCACCUCGAUGUCGGCUCAUCACAUCCUGGGGCUGAAGUAGGUCCCAAGGGUAUGGCUGUUCGCCAUUUAAAGUGGUACGCGAGCUGGGUUUAGAACGUCGUGAGACAGUUCGGUCCCUAUCUGCCGUGGGCGCUGGAGAAUUGAGGGGGGCUGCUCCUAGUACGAGAGGACCGGAGUGGACGCAUCACUGGUGUUCGGGUUGUCAUGCCAAUGGCACUGCCCGGUAGCUAAAUGCGGAAGAGAUAAGUGCUGAAAGCAUCUAAGCACGAAACUUGCCCCGAGAUGAGUUCUCCCUGACUCCUUGAGAGUCCUGAAGGAACGUUGAAGACGACGACGUUGAUAGGCCGGGUGUGUAAGCGCAGCGAUGCGUUGAGCUAACCGGUACUAAUGAACCGUGAGGCUUAACCUU
rnacentral:rRNA from 1 species